rnacentral:tRNA from 1 species
GUGGUGGUGGAUAAGUGGUUAGGUCACCAACUUGUAACCUUGGUGUCCAGAGUUUAAACCUCUCCACCGUC